UGAAGAAUCAACCGGAAUAUAAACAAAUUUAAAUAUACCUAAUAACACAAUAUUAAAAUAUGUACAUGAUUAUAAAAUAAAUAUAUUCUAAUUUCCCCUGUGAUUUUUUUCACGCUUUGGUGUUUAGAAGAGUGUUGUUUAAUUUCCACAUAUUUGUAAAUGUCUCAAAAUUAUUUUUUGUUAAUUUUAUUGGUAUUUAUUUAGUGAAGUAUACUUGACAUACAAGAUUACCUUCUGUUAUUGAUUUUUAAUAUCAAUCCAUUGAUGUUGGAGAACAUACAUUGUCUGAUUUCAAUUAUUUUACAUUUAUUGCAGCUUGUUAUAUGGUCUAACAUAUGGCCUAUCCUGGAGAAUUAUUCCACGAGCACUUGGGAAGAAUGUGAAUUCUGUUGCUGUUGGGUAGCUGUGAUGUUAAACAAUUACCACUCACUGUUUUGGACAAUGCCUUGGGGAUAGAGCCCUCUUCACCGAGCAAACCCUAGUUCAGUGAACCUCUGGACAAAAUUGAAUCAGUUUCAAUCCAGGCUGGUUGGGCCUGGGGAUAUCUGCAGCAUCUACAAGAAAAGGAGAAGAAGCCUUCAAACAACUAUAACAGUGAGACUUGUACUAAAACAAUUUUGUAGACAAAAUUGAGGGAUUUCAAAGAUUAAUGGCAAAAUCAACAAAAGUAGAGAAAAAUUCAGCCUACAAGAGGUUCCAGAGAGUUCCCUAGCUUCUUCCAGCAUGUGAGGAUACAAUCGGAAGUCUGAGACAUGGAAGACGGUCCUCACCAACCCUGCUGGCACUCCGAGCUCAGACUUCCAUCCUCCAGAACUGUGAGAAAUAAAUUUCUGUUGUUUGUAAGCCACCCAAUCUGUGAUAUUUUGUUAGAGCAGACAAAUGUACUAUGAUAAGAACAAUGCUGAAUGGUGUGUUUGCAUGUGCUUAAAAAGGGUUACAAAGAAGAGACUUAAAGAAGGACCCACUGUUUUGGGCCAAAUUCCUUUUAUCUUCAAAAAAACAACAAAAAAAAGUAAAAAAACAAAAAAGUAUUUUUCCUCGUUCUUUUUCCAAAGUGUGGCUUUCAUGUGUACUUUUUAAUAGAAAGGAUUCUUUGGCAAUGAAAAAGCUAGUCUUAAUUGACUUCCCACUCUCCCCAGCAGCAAGUGACUUGCUGGUGACUAGGGCUGUAAAGGAACAGCUCCUCCUGGCAAGCACGGUCUUCCCUCCCCCCCCCCCCCCACUAAAAUGUCAUAUAUUCACAUAGUGCAAAAUUUUCAAAAAAUGUAAAAAGGCAUAUAGUGAAAACUUGUCCUCUUGUCCUGUCCACUGUUUACACAGCUCUCUUUUGCACACACACACACAGCCAUAAUUAAUUCUUAUAUAUUCUUGACAGAUUAUUCUUAACAGAUUUCUUUAUGAAUUGACCAGAAAAUAUCAAUAUAUAGUUGUAUUCUUCCUCUUUUUAUAAAAAAUAGCACAUAAUAUACACUGGCUUUAUAUCAUUUUUUUCACUUUUAAAUAUACAUCUUAAUGAUCAAUACCAGAGAGCUUCCUCAGUUUUUUAAACCACUGUGUAGUACUUCACUCUGUAAAUGUUCAAGAACUUUUUAACUAGUCUCCUAUUGAUGGGCAUGUGAGGUGUUUCCAGUUUUAUAUUUCAAGCAAUACUGACCCAGAUAACAUUACACAUAAUGUCAUUUCACAUGUGGGCAAGUAUAUCUGCAGGAUAAAUUCCUGAAAGUGUGAUGUAUGUGCAGUUUUAAUGAACCUUGAAAAUGUCUUUCCAUCAGAGUUGUGCCACUUUCAAUUCUCCCUAAUGUAUGCGGAGGGCUGUCUUCCUAAAAACAACAAAAUGUGUUAUCAAGCUCUUAGACCAUUACCAAACUGGAAGCUGAUAUAUCAGUGUAGUUUUAACAUUUAUUUCUCUUAUUACCAGUGGACUUGAUCAUCUGUUUAUGUUUAUAAGCCAUUUCGAUUUUUUCUAUGACAUACAUGUCAUGUGACAUAUCUUUAUGUGUAUUCCUAUUUUUCUAGUAUGUGAUUAGUCUUUUAUUGGUUUCUAGUAGCUCUUCAUAUGUUAGGGAGGUUGGUAUUUGUCUAUGACAUAGUUUCUCAUUGUGUCAUUUAUCUUUUGACUUUGUUUAUAGUUUCAUAUGUUGUUAAAUUUAUUUUAUUUUAUUUUAUUUUAUUUUAUUUUAUUUUAUUUUAUUUUAUUUUAUUUUAUUUUAUUUUAUGGAUUCUAGAGUUUGAGUCAGAAAAAACCUUCUCCACUGAAAUGUUAGAAAGGAACUUCCUGUGCUUUCUUCUAAUACUCACAUGCUUUCAUUAUUUUGUAUGUAUAUCUUCAAUUCAUUUGAAAUUUAUCCUGGUUCUGCUACCUUGCUAGAGUAUGGUAUGACGUAUGAGUCCAACAUCUUUUCUUCAGAUAUUCUAUCACCAUUUAUUGAAGUGUUUAUUUUCUCCACUGAUUUGAAAUGCUAUCUUUUUCAUGUGGCGAAUUGUAGUAUGCAUUUGGAAUUAUUCCUGGGCUUUGUAUAAUAUUGUGUUGGUCAAUUUGUCUAAUGAUGAACUGAUACCACUGUGAUGUGUUUAGGUUUUAUGCUUAUGUUUUUGUAAGACAUUUGAUAAUUUCCCCUCAUUGCCCUUUCCCUCCCCCAGUUUUCCUUCCCAUUUUUGAUAAUUUUCCACAAAACGUCAUGAUCACUUUGCCUAGUUUCAAAAAACUCACUGUCAAUAUUUUGCUUUUUGUGCUCUUGUUGAAAUUAUAAGUGAACUCAGAAAGAAUUGACAUUUUUUAAUGUUAACUCUACCAACUAGAUACAUCUUCACUCUGUACAGAAUUUCUUGUGUGUCCUCCAGUAGGAUUUUAACACUUCUUAUUAAGUUUAUUCCCCUGCCUUUAAUCUUCUUUUCUUUUUAAAAUGAGUACUUUCUUCCAUUAUAUAUUUAUACUGUUAGUUGUUUUUGUUUUGUAUAUUAAUUUUGUGCCCCACUACUUUGCUAAAUAGCUUUUCUAGUUGAGUCUCAUGAGUUUUCCAAGUAUAUAAUUAUAAUACCUUGCAGGAAGAUUCAUAAUGGAUGCUGAUAAAAUCUCAGAAAGGACAAAUAUAAAUACAUUAUAGACUCUUGGGUACUCUAGACCAGACUAGGUAAUGCCCAGUGUUCAAAAACUGUAGUAUCAUUUUAGAAGGGAUGUAUUGGAAUGAUGAUUGUUUUAAAACAAAUAAUUCAUUAUGAUCUUAAUCCUAGUCAUCAUAAUCACCAUCACACUUAUAUUUGUAGAGAGCACUCUAUUUUAUUUUAUCUAUUUAUUUAUUUAAACAAAUUUUUAAAUUUUUAUUUAUUUUAGAGAAAAUGAGGACAUGUGCACAUGAGCAGGGAUGGGCAGAGGGAGAGAGAGAGGGAGAGAGAGAAUCUUAAGCAGGCUCCACGCUCAGCAUGGAGCCUGACAUAGGGCUCAAUCCCAUGACCUUGGGAGUAUGACCUGAACCAAAAUCAAGUCGGAUGUUCAACUGACUGACCCACCCAGGCAUGCCACGAGAGCACUCUAUUUUUAAAAAUUACUGAUACAAAGCUACCAAUUUGUUACCACUAUUGUUAUUACCAAACAUUUCAAAAAUACCUCUAAGAUAUUCAUAUAAGUCUCAUGGAGUUUAACUCUAAUACAGUAUCAUAAAGAAAAAAUCCAGUUGUGUAUGCAAGCAACUACCCAUCAGUCCUGAAGUGGGAUUUAUAUUUAAGUAGCUUAAAUGAGUUGCUUUGUGUUUAUGAUGGGCACAGCAAAUCCUCCUUGCUGGUUGUUAAACCCUCCUCACCUAACAAUGAUCUUCUUUGUUGAUCUUCAGGGCAUGGUGUCUCAUCUGUUUAGUUUGGCUUUUUAUUUGACUUUCAUUGACUUUGCAGCCAAGCCAGUUUUCUUUGUUUGAUAUGUUAGCUCAAAUAUGUAGGUGACCUCAGCCAUUCAAUGAUAGGCAUAUUAUUUUUAAAAAUAACAUAUACUAGAUUUUGAUGAAAGAAUAUAAUUUUCUCUCGCAAAUGGAGAAGAAAUGUUUGACUUUAUUUUAUUUUUUAUUUUACAGACAGCAUGCAAGUGGGGGAGAGUGGCAGAAGGAGGAAGAGAGAGAGAGAGAGAGAGAGAGAGGGGAGAGAGUGAAUGAAUCUGAAGCAGGCUCCACGUUCAGCUCGGAGCCUAGCACAGAGCCCAACGGCGCUCAGUCCCACGACUCUGGGAUCAUGACCUGAGCCAGAACCAAGAAUCAGAUGCUCAACCAACUGAGCCAUCUAGGGGCCCCCAAAUGUUUGACUUAUGAAUAAUAACUUGCUGUCUUUUAGAGGACUUGUCCAACUGUCUUUUACUAGGAGACACAGAUGUCUGGUUGCUGAAUUUCUGUUAGCCUUUUUUCUAUACACAGUUCUCAACCUUAGAUUAGAUAGAGACAACUUUACAUCUUCUUUAAGCACUUCCUAAGGUAUUAGCACCCUUUAGUGCUAGUUACUGAGGAGUCACAGCUGUCACCCAAGUCUUAGUACUGAGCUAGCCACGGUCAGAUGCAAUGUGGUGUGUUGAAGAAUCUUCUCAUUUGAAGCACCUCACAAGUUGUGCCAUAUUUCCAACUACUAGGAAAAAUGUAAACAUAUCUAUUGGGAGGUAUGUCAAUGAACACCAAUGAAGUAUAAGAGAAAAGCCAAAGAUUGUGAACAUGUACAUAUGUACCUGUGGAUACUGAAAUCCUGAUUUGGUCUGGUAAAUUCAACUUCAUUGCCUUCUUUCUGGUAUGGUUGAAUCUCAACAUUUUACCUCUCUUCUACAAAAUUCUCUUUAAUAAAGCCAAGUUAUAAAAUGCUUUUAAAAUCCUAAAGUUUUAUAUAAAUUUUAGUUUUCUCUGAGACAUUAAUUUUGGUGUAAAACCAGUGACACUUACAAUCAAAUAAUGUGAGGUAUUCAAAUCUUAAGGACUGCAUUGAGAGAUGUUGACAAUUAGAAUAUUCUCAUCAGUAGGAGGUUUGUGUUGGCUCCAAAUGUGGAUUACUUAUGUAAAUGCCCCUUUGGAACCUCUGUUUAUAUGAUAGAGACCUUAGGGGAUGUUAGAAAGGGUGUUGUCUUGUUUUAUAGACUUUCUGAUUUGUUAACAUACUUGAAGUUUCAAUAUUCAAAAGUCAUUCACAUAACCUCUUUUUUUAUUUUGAAAAGUUUCAGAUACUUACUUGUGAACGCUUCCCAAGAACAUUUCGUUGUGUCUGGGGUGUACUAUGACAUUUACACUCUUUCACUUUCUUCUCUGGAUUAUUU